rnacentral:lncRNA from 1 species
UUAUGAUUUCUGCAUGGUUUACCAAAUACUCCUUGACUUAAAAAUAAGCUUUGGAUUUAUGCUAGCUCAGUUCCAGUAAUAUAUGAAAAUAUUUCUCCUAUAUAGCUCUAUUUCACUUUGUAAUAUUGUUACACAUAUGACAUCCACUAAUGUUAGAAAUCCCACCAUACGUUGUUAUAGCUAUUACUUUUCCAUCUGUCAUCAUUUCCUUAGAACAUUACAGCUUUGCUCCCACCCACCUCUCUUGUACUAUUUUGGCACAUAUACAUAUAUUAUAUUGUUCAGAAAUACGUAAUCUAUAUAUUAUAUGCUUUCUUUUAAAAUAAAAAAAUGAGAAAAGAUACACUUACAGUGUCGUCUAUAGUUUAAAUAAUUACCUUUUUAAUUGGUGUUCUUUGUUCACUUACAUGGUUCCUAAUUAUGAGGUUACUUUUGCUUUUGGCCUGAAGAACGUUUUUAGUAUUUUCUGUAAGGUAGGAGUGCUGGCUACAAAUUCUCUCAGCUUUUUCUUUUCUGAGAAAGUCUCUAUUUGCUUUUAUUUUUGAGAGAGUGUUUUGCUGGCUAUAGGAGUCUAAGAGUCUUUGUUUCAUUUGCUCCCUUUGAGCACUAUGAAUCUGUUAUUCCACUGCCUUCUGUCCAUUGUUUCUGUUGAGAAAUUCACUGAAUACCGCACUGGGUUGAUCUGUAAGUGGACACAUUAUCUUCCGCUUCAUUUGAAGAUUUUUCUCCUUGUGUUUGAUUUUCAGCGUUUUAAUAUGAUGUGUGUGUUUGUGGAUUUUUUUGUUUAUAUCGCUUGGAGUUCAUUGAGCUUCAUGGAUGUCAAUUGAGGAAAAAACAUAUAAUUAGACUUUCUUUCUACAUCCCUUCACUUCUGGAAAGUGAUGAAAGUACAUGGGAAAGUUGAGAUGUAUAUCUCAGGGGAAAAGGACAAGAGCACAUGUGAAGAUGGUGAGUCAUUUUUUUUUAUUGCUUUCACUUAUGAAACAUCGUUUGUGAGCAGAGCUUGUAAUAUCAUAGCUUGCAGGUUGGAUGUCAGAAAACAUCUCUAAUGAUACUAUUUCUAGAACUCUCUGGAGUAACUAAAAUGUUUGGCUUUAAAUAAUAGAUAACCUGUCCCACCCUACCUUACACAAUUAUGAAACUCAUUAGUGCACAUAGUAGGAGGCCUAGGGUUAACACAGGUCCCAGAUCCACUGUGAACUCUUUUUCUACUUCUGUUCUGCAGUCGACAUUGUUGGCUAUACCUUAAAGCUUGUUCCUCUUUUGUUAAUGGAUAACUGUUAAGAAUAUUGCUUCCUUUUUUUUAUCAUAAGGGAAGUAAAAUCAUUUAGUCUUUUUUUUUUUUUUUUUUGAGAUGUAAUCUUGCUCUGCUGCCCAGGCUGGAGUGCAGUAAUGCAAUCUCGGCUCACUGCAACCUCCACCUCUCCUGCCUCAGCUUUCCAAGUAGUUGAGAUUACAGACACCCAACACCACACCUCGCUAAUUUUUGUAUUUUAAUAGAGAUGGGGUUUCACCAUGUUGGCCAGGCUGGUUUUGAACUCCUGACCUCAAGUGAUUCCCCCACUUCAGCCUCCCAAAAUACUGGAAUUACAGGCAUGAGCCACCACACCCAGCCCAUUUAGUCUUUCUUUAGUGAACAAAGAUUAUGUUUCCUCAGAUCUUGUAGCAAAUUUGCCUUGAAUUUCAUUGGCUAGAAUUUAGGCAAAUGUUUAUUUGUGAACCAAAUAUUGUCAUUAGGAUUAUCUUUAGACCAAUCAGGUGGCCAUCUGAGCUCAGUUUUCCAAAUGGCAUUGCUAUUACUUCAUGUAGCUUUACCACAAUGCCCAUUAAGCUCGUAAUAAUGUCUCAUUAUUAUAUUUGAUUAAUUUCUUUACUUGUAAUCACAAUGCCAUCAUUUCUGUUCUUUCUUACAUGUACGACAUAAAUUUAAAAUACUAGUCAUCUAAACUUCAGAAUUUUGUGGGAGUUUUUAGAUAAUGGCCAA